UGGUCAGCCUGUGCCUCCCUUUGCUGAGUUGCAUCACCUUCAUUCUUUGCUGGCCUGGUUUUGAUCCACUCCAAACAAUAUUUCUUCCUCUUCAGUGCUUACACCCUUCAGAGAUUCUUAGACAGCUAUUAUGUCCCCCAUUAGUUUUCCCUUGGUCUACCUGUAAGCAUUCACCCCUUUUAAUCUUCUCCCAUCAGCCUGUCCCUCCUGCCCCUCCAUCAUCUCUGCUGUUCUCCAAAUCCCCUCCUGUUUGUCCACAUCUUUCUCAUUUAUGAAUCCAUGAUCUCAUUUAGCAUUUGAUUUCUGCCAAAAAUAGAGUUGAGCUUGAUUGUUUUCACUGAUGACUGAAAGAGGCACGAAUUGUUGCUUGGAAAACAGUCCUUGAGACAGCAAUAUGAAAGGGAAAAAAUGAAGGCAGCUCCACCAGGCAGACGAACACACAGAUAUUAUCACGUAGGGCAGCUUUGGCUAGAUUGAAUCUCAGAAGUGCGUGAUGACAGUAAUAGCCACCACUAUUAGAGUGUUUAGCUUUUAAACAGAAAUGUGAGUUAUAACUCAGGCCCCAGCAUAAAUCACAGAGCCAUGAAAAUCUUACAAAUGCAUGCCUGCACAAUGCACCAAUAUGAAAUUCCACGUCCUUGGUGGAAGCAGCACAAUUGCAACUUCCUUUGCGUAGGAAAAUGUGUGUGUUUGACUCAGAUACAGCAAUUUGGCUUCAGGCACAUCGCCGGGACCUUCGGCUUGGGAAGUUAUCAUCUUUUCUUUCUUUUUUUUGAAGGGAACAUUAUCUGAGUGCUCACCGGUGGGGAAGGGAGGUGCUGAGGGCAGAGGUGGGCUGCAGAACCGCUCUCACCUGCGGUCGAGCAGCUGGCCCGGCCACCCCGAGACGAGGCCGGUAACGAGAUUCCGUGAUCUGUACGGCCGAACGCCGAUCGAGGAGCUCGGUUUGGAUCCCAGACUCAAUGCUGACGCCUGGCUUCAGUCUGCAAACUGCCAUUUCUCGGGGCCGCGCUGAGCGCUCCCGCUGCCCAAGGGCGGCCGCACGGCGGGGCUGCGGGUGGGGCCGCUUCCCCUGGGAAGGGGCUGCUGGCCGGCGGGACCCCGCAGAGGCUACACUGUAUCUCAGGGGGAUUUCCAUUUAAAUGCUCCUUGGCAAAGCGCCCUCAGAAAGCUGCUGACGCCUCGUGGAAAGCUUUGGAAAACAUGCUAAUGAAUUAGAAACAAAGCGGCGUCUCUAUCGGAUCCCAGAGCCGCUGUGCCUCCCUCUCUCGCCGCCCGUCACCUCCCGAGAUACGUGCGUGACAAGGGCAGCUUUGUGCCUCCGGGCUCCGCUCCGCGGCCGCGUGUUCCCGCAUCUAAAGGCCGUUCUGGUGGGACCUCGGGCAGAGGGGCUGCUGGAAAUUCUCCUGCCACUCUGGGGAACAGCAAUGAAGCGAUGAAAGAGGAAGAAUGUGAGAAAGAGAGAGAGCAUCAAUCCUGAGCCCCACUGCUGGGCUUUGGAGCGUUCCCACUUGGCCAGGGGAAAGCGAGCAAACAAACGUAGCAACAACCAGCCGGCACGAAGCAGCCGGGCAGCAGCGGCUGCAGCCCUGAGCUGGCAUCAGGCAGUGCACCUCAGCGCUGUGCAGGGUGAGCCCGAGCCCCUGGGCGCUGAGAUGGGAGAGGAUCCGAGAGGAGGCGGCCCCGCAGCCGCUCACUUCCCCAGUCCUCAAUUCCUCCUUUCUCCCGGAGAACCAAGAUCAGCACGGCUCCUCGCAUUGCUUUGCAUCUGAACAAGGGCUUAAAUGUCCACACUGACUCAAUGCACGCUGGAACACUUCCAGAAAGUCAGCAAAUUUGCUCUCCCUCUCCCUUUAAAUGCUUUGGCUUCCUGCAGGAAAAUGAAAUCCAUUAACAAGUUCCACCCCGCUCCAAAUUCAAGGCUAGAACUGUCAAUGCUUUAGGAACGAGCUAAAUGGAGGGAUUUCCAUAACAAUCAACAGCUACAGCAUUAAUCUAUAGUCAUAUUAACCUGGGAUGACAAGGACACGUCUGUCUGUUCUCUCUAAUGUAAUCUACCAUUAUACUCGGACUCCAUUGAAGUCUGCUUUGUAGUAUGCAUUUGGCUGUGAUCAGCUAAUCUCUCUGGCUUUAAGCACAGCUUAGAAAAGACAGCGAGGGAGACAGACAGAGCAAAGCGAUGAAUAUGCAUGUGUGUGUGCUUAGCAUGUGUCUGCCUCUAAUGUAUGUGCGAGCAUGUGCAGCUGCACACAGGAGCUGUGCCGGUGCUGCAGGGCUGCACUGUGCCCGCG